rnacentral:rRNA from 1 species
AGAGUUUGAUCCUGGCUCAGAAUCAACGCUGGCGGCGUGCCUCAGACAUGCAAGUCGAACGAUUAAGACUUCCUUCGGGGAAGUGCAUAAAGUGGCGCACGGGUGAGUAACACGUAAGUAAUCUACCCUCGAGUGGGGAAUAACGUUCGGAAACGGACGCUAAUACCGCAUAACGCAGCGGCACCGCAAGGUGACAGUUGUUAAAGGAGCAAUCCGCUUGAGGAGGAGCUUGCGGCAGAUUAGCUAGUUGGUAGGGUAAUGGCUUACCAAGGCUACGAUCUGUAUCCGGUCUAAGAGGACGGUCGGACACACUGACACUGAAUAACGGGUCAGACUCCUACGGGAGGCAGCAGUCGGGAAUUUUGGGCAAUGGGCGAAAGCCUGACCCAGCAACGCCGCGUGAAGGAUGAAGUAUUUCGGUAUGUAAACUUCGAAAGAAUAGGAAGAAUAAAUGACGGUACUAUUUAUAAGCUCCGGCUAACUACGUG